CAAUAUUACCCAAUUCCUAGUCAUUUUGUUAAUAAAUUUAAUAUGCUCGCUUAUAUAUUUAAAAAAUUUGAUCAACAUAAAACCGGAAGAAUCACUAUUGAUUAUUUCAUGUAUAUCAUCAAAAAAGUUCUUGUUAAUGAUAUAGUACAAGCACAUAUAUUAAAGAGUUUAUCUGGCGUAAAAGACGUUUGUUAUGAAGCAUGGUUAUUGAAAAAAAGAAAAGAUGUGUAUGAAAGCCAAUAUGGUCUGAAAGGCUUAUAUAUGAAAUUUAUAACUUCGAUAGCAUAGAAAAAAAAGUUUUUAAUUUAUAUAAAAGUACUUGUUUUUUAAAAUAAAUCAUAUAAUUACCAAAUA